CGGCCACCGUAUCAUUUUUAACCAUGGCGGUUAUGGCACCGGAUACGGAUACAGGCCGGCGUACUGGUGAAAGCUCCAGUUAAUUGCUGUCAAUGGAUUCUGCUUCCAGUAACACGAUAGGCAAAGGGAUUUGUACGAAAUGAAACGAGGGACAAACAACCACCUCUUUCUCUUGUUUUCAAUCUUUUUCCACUUUGUCUAGAUGGUUUGUGUCUUGUUUACAAUAAAGACUAUUAUAUUUCAA